rnacentral:rRNA from 1 species
CACCGGCGGCUCGAGUGGUGGCCACUUUUAUUGGGUCUAAAGCGUCCAUAGCCGGCUUGGCAAGUCCCCUGGGAAAUCUGGCGGCUUAACCGUCAGGCGUCCAGAGGAUACUGCCAGGCUUGGGACCGGGAGAGGUGAGAGGUACCUCAGGGGUAGGGGUGAAAUCUUGUGAUCCCUGAGGGACCACCAGUGGCGAAGGCGUCUCACUAGAACGGGUCCGACGGUCAGGGACGAAAGCUGGGGGCACGAACCGG